rnacentral:rRNA from 1 species
UGCGAGUUGCACGUUUAACGUAGCAAACUGCUCAGUAACACGUGGCCAAACUGCCCUAUGGACUGGGAUAACCUCGGGAAACUGAGGCUAAUCCCGGAUAUCACAUCCAGCCUGGAACUGGCGGAUGUGUGAAACGCUCCGGCGCCAUAGGAUGUGGCUGCGGCCGAUUAGGUAGACGGUGGGGUAACGGCCCACCGUGCCGAUAAUCGGUACGGGUCAUGAGAGUGAGAACCCGGAGACGGACUCUGAGACACGAGUCCGGGCCCUACGGGGCGCAGCAGGCGCGAAACCUUUACACUGCACGACAGUGCGAUAGGGGGACACCGAGUGCGAGGGCAUAGAGCCCUCGCUUUUGUAGACCGUAAGGAGGUCUACGAAUAAGGGCUGGGCAAGACCGGUGCCAGCCGCCGCGGUAACACCGGCAGCCCAAGUGAUGGCCGAUAUUAUUGGGCCUAAAGCGUCCGUAGCUGGCCGCGCAAGUUCGUCGGGAAAUCCACUCGCUUAACGAGUGGGCGUCCGGCGAAAACUGUGCGGCUUGGGACCGGAAGAUCCAAGGGGUACGUCCGGGGUAGGAGUGAAAUCCUGUAAUCCUGGACGGACCACCGAUGGCGAAAGCACCUUGGAAGGACGGAUCCGACAGUGAGGGACGAAAGCUAGGGUCUCGAACCGGAUUAGAUACCCGGGUAGUCCUAGCCGUAAACGAUGCUCGCUAGGUGGUGGCGCAGGCUACGAGCCUGCGCUGUGCCGUAGGGAAGCCGUGAAGCGAGCCGCCUGGGAAGUACGUCUGCAAGGAUGAAACUUAAAGGAAUUGGCGGGGGAGCACUACAACCGGAGGAGCCUGCGGUUUAAUUGGACUCAACGCCGGACAUCUCACCAGCUCCGACAGCAGUAAUGACAGUCAGGUUGAUGACCUUACUCGACGCUGCUGAGAGGAGGUGCAUGGCCGCCGUCAGCUCGUACCGUGAGGCGUCCUGUUAAGUCAGGCAACGAGCGAGACCCGCACCUCUAGUUGCCAGCAGCAUCUCGCGAUGGCUGGGUACACUAA